CUCGGUUUUAUUCUUAUUGCUCAGGCUUGAGUGCACUGGCCUCUUCUCAGCUCAACCUCCGCCUCUUGGGUUCGGGUAAUGAUGGUUCCACGUCAGCGGCCCUCCGCCUCUUGGGUUUGCGUGACGGUUCCACGUCACCGACCCUCCGCCUCUUGGGUUCGGGUGAUGAUGGUUCCACGUCAGCGGCCCUCCGCCUCUUGGGUUUGCGUGACGGUUCCACGUCAGCGGCCCUCCGCCUCUUGGGUUUGCGUGACGGUUCCACGUCACCGACCCUCCGCCUCUUGGGUUCGGGAGGUGGUUCCAUCUCAGCCGCCCUCUGCCUCUUGGGUUUGCGUGGUUUUUCUGCCUCAGCCUCCUGAGUAGCUAAGGGAGGUGUCUUGAGAUUAUCAUCGGCUGAGGGUGGAAGCGGCCCCCGCAGACGCUCGGCAGGUGUCUUGAUAUUAUCAUCUGCUGAGGGUGGAAGGGCAGUGAGCUGACGCUCGGAAGGUGUCUUGAGAUUAUCAUCCGCUGAGGGUGGAAGGGGAUGGAGCAGACACUCGGCACGUGUCUUGAGAUUAUCAUCCGCUGAGGGUGGAGCUGAGGGUAGAGCUGAGGGUGGAAGGGGAGUGAGCAGACACUCGGGAGGUGUCUUGAGAUUAUCAUCCGCUGAGGGUGGAAGGGGAGUGAGCAGACACUCAGGAGGUGUCUUGAGAUUAUCAUCCGCUGAGGGUGGAAGGGGAGUGAGCAGACACUCGGGAGGUGUCUUGAGGCUCAGGGAGUUAUCAGUUAUAGAAUGUUGUUGAGUUGGAGGAGGUGGCUG
rnacentral:lncRNA from 1 species